UUUUAAUAGAUAAUAAUAUUGUUUCAAGAGAAGGAAGAAAGUCCUCUUAGAGCGCUUAAUGAAGAUCGAUAAAGUCGAAAGAGGAAGAGGAAGGAGAUAGCAAAAGGGUGAAAGAGAUAAAAUUGUAAAGAGGGAUGAAGUGGAAAGAGCUUUUCUUCGUUCGAGUCAAACCAUCGUUGUGAGGAAGAAGUACAGAGAAGGAAGCACCUCAGCGGAUGUGAUGUUUAGGACAUGGCCGUACAAAAAAUGCCUCCCGUAUAAAUAUAGACGAUGGUGGUUGCCAUCGUAAUGGUUGUGAUAGUGCUGCUGGUGGUGGUGACUGCUUACCAAUCGAAAUUUCUCUUUGACCCACAUUCCGAGAUUGAUUAUUUACAAAGGGUCACGGUGUUCCUGUUUUCGUUUCUCUUGGUUGUCUUCUCCUUCAUCUGCAUUAAUUUAUGUGAAAUAUGGAAUAAAAAAAUUAGGGAGAGAGAGAAAGAGAGAGAGAGAGAGAGAGAGAGAAAAUUAUCGAAAACAUUAAAAUGUAUUUUAAAGAAAAGAAAAGAAAAAGAGAAAAGAACAAGAAAUGGAGGAACUUGUUUGAGUGAGUUCGAUUUCACACCGGUUAGA